rnacentral:rRNA from 1 species
AUUGAACGCUGGCGGCAGGCCUAACACAUGCAAGUCGAACGAGUGGCGGACGGGUGAGUAAUGUCUGGGAAACUGCCUGAUGGAGGGGGAUAACUACUGGAAACGGUAGUUAAUACCGCAUACCAUCGGAUGUGCCCAGAUGGGAUUAGCUAGUAGGGGGGGUAACGGCUCCCCUAGGCGACGCUCCCUAGCUGGUCUGAGAGAAUGACCAACCACACUGGGACUGAGACACGGUCCAGACGCCUACGGGAGGCAGCAGUGGGGAAUAUUGCGCAAUGGGCGCAAACCUGAAGCAGCCAUGCCGCGUGUAUGAGGAAGGCAUUCGGGUUGUAAAGAACUUUCAGCGGGGAGACGUUACCCGCAAAAGAAGCACCGGCUAACUCCGUGCCAGCAGCCGCGGUAAUUC